rnacentral:misc_RNA from 1 species
CUGAUUUUCACUAUGACGACUAUUUUGAUCUUUUUUCGUCAACUUCCCUUAUUUUUCACUUAAAAAUGGAUGACACUGACAGUCAGAGAGUUACGAGGGCUUCAUUUGACGAAAGCAGGGAGAUCGGACCAAUUGGCCAAUCUGGGACUAAAAUAACCACUAUUUUGAUCUCUAGUCAGCCUCCCAGUCCGAGCCAAAAUCCGAUCAUGAGCAAUGGGACUGCUAAUUUCAAUCUUGACAUCGAUGACCGCCUCUAGAAGUUCAUUUGGCUCCUAACGAGCUCAGGGGUCCCGAUUAGAGCUCGGUUCUGGUUGAUGACAUCGACAAUAACAAUGAGUUUUUCCGUAGUCUGUACCAUAGUUGACGAGAGCUACCUUCUCGAUCUCCACGUAUCUCUUAAACGCCAUCUUGAGAUCGGGAGGAGUCCGAACUGUGGGAGCAAGAUGGGUAGAAUGUAGGUACAUCUGUAAUUAAUAAUUGGGUUGGGGAAAACCUCCCAAUGAUGUAAUCUGAUAUUUUAGAAAUGAAAUGGACUUUUAUUUAAGUUCGAUCUUAUUUUAUUUAUUUGUUUAUUAUGUUCUUUGUUAUUUGCACUGCCCUGAACGUCCUUCCGAUCCCUUUACCUAAUACCCUCUUCACCUGAUCUCUUUCAUUCGACCCCUCUCAUAGCCGAUCUCUAGCCACAACUCUUUCGACCGAUAUCUUCCG